rnacentral:rRNA from 1 species
UGAGUAACACGUAUCCAACCUGCCGUCUACUCUUGGACAGCCUUCUGAAAGGAAGAUUAAUACAAGAUGGCAUCAUGAGUCCGCAUGUUCACAUGAUUAAAGGUAUUCCGGUAGACGAUGGGGAUGCGUUCCAUUAGAUAGUAGGCGGGGUAACGGCCCACCUAGUCUUCGAUGGAUAGGGGUUCUGAGAGAAGGUCCCCCACAUUGGAACUGAGACACGGUCCAA